GGGACUGUAGCUCAGUGGUAGAGCACUUGCCUAGCGUGCAUGAGUCACUGGGUUUGAUACUCAGCACCA
rnacentral:tRNA from 1 species